rnacentral:tRNA from 1 species
GCCUUCGUGGUGUAGUAGUCAGCACGCUCGACGCGUAUUCGAGAGGUCAGUGGUUCGAACCCCGACGAGCGCA